rnacentral:misc_RNA from 1 species
GAUGAAGAACGCAGCGAAAUGCGAUAAGUAAUGUGAAUUGCAGAAUUCAGUGAAUCAUCGAAUCUUUGAACGCACAUUGCGCCCUCUGGUAUUCCGGGGGGCAUGCCUGUUCGAGCGUCAUUUCAACCCUCAAGCCCCCGGGCUUGGUGUUGGGGAUCGGCGAGCCUCCGCGCCCGCCGUCCCCUAAAUCUAGUGGCGGUCUCGCUGUAGCUUCCUCUGCGUAGUAGCACACCUCGCACUGGGAAACAGCGCGGCCACGCCGUUAAACCCCCAACUUCUGAACGUUUGACCUCGGAUCAGGUAGGAAUACCCGCUGAACUUAAGCAUAUCAAUAAGCGGAGGA